UACGUAGGUGGCAAGCGUUGUCCGGAUUUAUUGGGUUUAAAGGGUGCGUAGGCGGUUCUAUAAGUCAGGGGUGAAAUCCGGCAGCUCAACUGUCGAUGUGCCAUUGAUACUGCAGAACUUGAGUACAGACGAGGUAGGCGGAAUUGACGGUGUAGCGGUGAAAUGCUUAGAUAUCGUCAAGAACACCGAUAGCGAAGGCAGCUUACUAGACUGUAACUGACGCUGAUGCACGAAAGUGUGGGGAUCAAACAGG
rnacentral:rRNA from 1 species